rnacentral:tRNA from 1 species
GUGGCUGUGGCUCAGUGGUAGAGUGCUUGCCUAGCAUGUGUGAAGCACUGGGUUCAAUUCUCAGCACCACA